rnacentral:rRNA from 1 species
GACAGAGGGUGCAAGCGUUAUCCGGAUUUAUUGGGCGUAAAGCGUCUGUAGGUGGUUUUUUAAGUCUGUGGUUAAAUAGUUCAGCUCAACUGGAUUCUGCCAUGGAUACUGAAAAACUAGAGUGUGUAAGAGGUUAGUGGAAUUUCUAGUGUAGCGGUGAAAUGCGUAGAUAUUAGAAGGAACUCCAGAGGCGAAGGCGACUAACUGGUGCACAACUGACACUGAGAGACGAAAGUGUGGGGAGCAAAAAGG